UACAAUGGAGAGUUUGAUCCUGGCUCAGGAUGAACGCUAGCGGGAGGCCUAACACAUGCAAGCCGAGGGGUAUUUUGGAGCUUGCUUCAAGAGAGACCGGCGUACGGGUGCGUAACGCGUAUGUAACUUACCUAUAUCACGGGGAUAGCCCGGGGAAACUCGGAUUAAUACCGGAUAACAUAUAAUGUAGCCUUACAUUGUAUUAAAAGGAUUUAUCGGAUAUAGAUAGGCAUGCGUAGGAUUAGUUAGUUGGUAAGGUAACGGCUUACCAAGGCAAUGAUCCUUAGGGGGCCUGAGAGGGUGAACCCCCACACUGGAACUGAGACACGGACCAGACUCCUACGGGAGGCAGCAGUGAGGAAUAUUGGACAAUGGGUGAGAGCCUGAUCCAGCCAUCCCGCGUGAAGGACGACAGCCCUAUGGGUUUUAAACUUCUUUUGUAUGGGAAUAAACCACAUUACGUGUAAUGUGCUGAAUGUACCAUACGAAUAAGCAUCGGCUAACUCCGUGCCAGCAGCCGCGGUAAUACGGAGGAUGCGAGCGUUAUCCGGAUUUAUUGGGUUUAAAGGGUCCGUAGGCGGAUUUGUAAGUCAGUGGUGAAAUCCUACAGCUUAACUGUAGAACUGCCAUAGAUACUGCGAGUCUUGAAUAGUAUUGAAGUAGCUGGAAUGUGUAGUGUAGCGGUGAAAUGCAUAGAUAUUACACAGAACACCGAUUGCGAAGGCAGGUUACUAAAUACCGAUUGACGCUAAGGGACGAAAGCGUGGGGAGCGAACAGGAUUAGAUACCCUGGUAGUCCACGCUGUAAACGAUGGAUACUCGUUGUUGGGGAGUAAAUUCUCAGUGACUAAGCGAAAGUAAUAAGUAUCCCACCUGGGGAGUACGACCGCAAGGUUGAAACUCAAAGGAAUUGACGGGGGCCCGCACAAGCGGUGGAGCAUGUGGUUUAAUUCGAUGAUACGCGAGGAACCUUACCAGGGCUUAAAUGGGAAUUGACGUACUUAGAAAUAAGUAUUUCUUCGGACAAUUUUCAAGGUGCUGCAUGGUUGUCGUCAGCUCGUGCCGUGAGGUGUCAGGUUAAGUCCUAUAACGAGCGCAACCCUUAUCAUUAGUUGCCAACGGGUAAAGCCGGGAACUCUAAUGAGACUGCCAGUGCAAA
rnacentral:rRNA from 1 species